ACAUGCAAGUCGAACGGCAGCACAGGAGAGCUUGCUCUCUGGGUGGCGAGUGGCGGACGGGUGAGGAAUACAUCGGAAUCUACUUUUUCGUGGGGGAUAACGUAGGGAAACUUACGCUAAUACCGCAUACGACCUACGGGUGAAAGCAGGGGAUCUUCGGACCUUGCGCGAUUGAAUGAGCCGAUGUCGGAUUAGCUAGUUGGCGGGGUAAAGGCCCACCAAGGCGACGAUCCGUAGCUGGUCUGAGAGGAUGAUCAGCCACACUGGAACUGAGACACGGUCCAGACUCCUACGGGAGGCAGCAGUGGGGAAUAUUGGACAAUGGGCGCAAGCCUGAUCCAGCCAUACCGCGUGGGUGAAGAAGGCCUUCGGGUUGUAAAGCCCUUUUGUUGGGAAAGAAAUCCAGCUGGCUAAUACCCGGUUGGGAUGACGGUACCCAAAGAAUAAGCACCGGCUAACUUCGUGCCAGCAGCCGCGGUAAUACGAAGGGUGCAAGCGUUACUCGGAAUUACUGGGCGUAAAGCGUGCGUANGUGGUCGUUUAAGUCCGUUGUGAAAGCCCUGGGCUCAACCUGGGAACUGCAGUGGAUACUGGACGACUAGAGUGUGGUAGAGGGUAGCGGAAUUCCUGGUGUAGCAGUGAAAUGCGUAGAGAUCAGGAGGAACAUCCAUGUCGAA
rnacentral:rRNA from 1 species